UACGUAGGUGGCAAGCGUUGUCCGGAUUUACUGGGCGUAAAGGGCGUGCAGGCGGUCUGUUAAGUCUAGGGUGAAAGCUCCCGGCUCAACUGGGAGAGGUCCUUGGAUACUGGCGGACUUGAGGGAGGUAGAGGAAAGUGGAAUUCCCGGUGUAGUGGUGAUAUGCGUAGAGAUGUGGAGGAACACCGAUGGCGAAGGCAGCCUUCUGGGCCAACACUGACGCUCAUGCACGAAAGCGUGGGGAGCAAACAGG
rnacentral:rRNA from 1 species